rnacentral:rRNA from 1 species
UACAGAGGGUGCGAGCGUUGUUCGGAAUUAUUGGGCGUAAAGGGCGCGUAGGCGGUGCGGUAAGUCACCUGUGAAAUCUCCUGGCUCAACUGGGAGCUUGCAGGCGAAACUGCCGUGCUGGAGUGUGGGAGAGGUGCGUGGAGUUCCCGGUGUAGCGGUGAAAUGCGUAGAUAUCGGGAGGAACACCUGUGGCGAAGGCGGAUCUCUGGGCCGAUACUGACGCUGAGGAGCGAAAGCGUGGGGAGCGAACAGG